UGAAUACGAGAUGCUACGGCGUCGAAGCAGUGUAUGUCAGACUUCCAAGAAAAGCUCGCAAUGUCAUAAAUAAAGAAUGCCUGUACCAUAACCGACACAGGUGGGUAGGUAGAGUAUACUAAGGGGCGCGAGAUAACUCUCUCUAAGGAACUCGGCAAAGUAACUCCGUAACUUCGGGAGAAGGAGUGCCUUCUAUUAGAAGGUUGCAAUAACAAGAUCCAAGCAACUGUUUAUCAAAAACACAGGUCUCCGCUAAGUCGUAAGACGAUGUAUGGGGGCUGACGCCUGCCCAGUGCCAGAAGGUUAAAGAAGUUGGUUAGCUUUGGCGAAGCUGAUGACUGAAGCCCUGGUGAACGGCGGCCGUAACGAUAACGGUCCUAAGGUAGCGAAAUUCCUUGUCGGGUAAGUUCCGACCCGCACGAAAGGCGUAAUGAUUUGGAUACUGUCUCGGAGAGGGACUCGGUGAAAUAGACUUGUCUGUGAAGAUGCGGACUACCUGCACCAGGACAGAAAGACCCUAUGAAGCUUUACUGUAACUUGAAAUUGAAAUUGGACUUUAUUUGCGCAGCAUAGGUGGAAGGCAUUGAGAUUACUCUUGCGGGAGCAGUGGAGCCAUCAGUGAGAUACCACUCCUAUAAUGUUAGAUUUCUAACUUUGGAUCAUGAUCUGGUCAAAGAACAGUUUCAGGCGGGCAGUUUGACUGGGGCGGUCGCCUCCCAAAUGGUAACGGAGGCGUACAAAGGUUUCCUCUGAACGGGUAGAAAUCGUAUCUAGAGUGUAAAGGCAUAAGGAAGCUUGACUGUGAGACCUACAAGUCGAGCAGGGACGAAAGUCGGUCUUAGUGAUCUGACGGUGCUGAGUGGAAAGGCCGUCACUCAACGGUUAAAAGUUACUCUAGGAUAACAGGCUGAUCUCCCCCAAGAGUUCACAUCGACGGGGAGGUUUGGCACCUUGAUGUCGGCUCAUCGCAUCCUGGGGCGGUAGUACGUCCCAAGGGUUGGGCUGUUCGCCCAUGAAAGCGGUACGCGAGCUGGGUUCAGAACGUCGUGAGACAGUUCGGUCCAUAUCCGGUGUAGGCGUUAGAAUAUUGAGAGGAGCCUUCUUUAGUACGAGAGGACCGAGAAGGACAUACCUCUGGUGUACCAGUUAUCGUGCCAACGGUAAACGCUGGGUAGCUAUGUAUGGAGAGGAUAACCGCUGAAAGCAUCUAAGUGGGAAGCCCACCUCAAGAUGAGUAUUCUCAUC
rnacentral:rRNA from 1 species